AAAAAGACAAAUCCUGAUUUCCGUGUCUAACGUUUGACCGUCCGUCUUAUUUGAAAAAAUUAUGAAAAAAAUUAAAAAGACAAGUCACGCAUAAAAUAUUAAAUCAUGCAUAAAAUAUUAAUCAUGUUUUAUCAUCUAACAACAUGAAAAUACGAAUUAUAAAACAAUUUCAUAUAAGACGGACAGUCAAAGUUGGACACGGAAAUUCAGGGUUUGUCUUUUU
rfam:Oryza rufipogon genomic scaffold, chr07